rnacentral:sRNA from 1 species
UGUAAGGGUGAUCCAGCUGUGACAUCUGUCAUGUCAUUUAUUACUAGGGUUGAUUCAGGUGAUCUGGUUGGCUAGGCAGGUGUUUCCUUGCUCCCUUACCACACCAUAUGUGUCUCCUUCUCAAGCUGUGCUUUGGGUUGAAGGGGGUAACCAUCCCUGAAUAGAGGACUAUUCUCUAGUGAAGACCUUCCAAACAAGCUCUCAACAACAUGACAUUUUUGGGCUGGAGAGAUG